rnacentral:misc_RNA from 1 species
GUAGGUGAACCUGCGGAAGGAUCAUUAACACGUAUCCAACGUUAAACCCCCCGUGAACCUUCAAAGUGCUCUUGGUGCCUUUACGGAACAGCAAUCCUGGUAAAUCAGUGGCGAGAUUCGUUUUUGAUUCAGGACCUCUGUCCAUGGUGCCAAUCGAGCGCAAAGUUAGUGGGUCUGGUUACCUGGCCUGGCGGAUGAAAGUGUCGCUGUACGGUUACGAGGUUUAUAGGCAUCAGCGAUCGCUAGAAGGCUCCUCACGAGCCGGCGAACAGACCUGCAGCUGGUCACAUAGCAAGUGCGCCGUGAUGCAGGUAAAUCGUACAACUGUUAACAAUGGAUAUCUUGGUUCUC